rnacentral:rRNA from 1 species
UACGAGUGCCUCAAGCGUUAUCCGGAAUCAUUGGGCGUAAAGGAUGUGUAGGUGGUUGUGUUAGUCUCUUGUUAAAUUCUUCGGCUUACCGGGGGCAUGCAAGGGAAACGGCACGACUAGAGGAUGCGAGGGGUCUGCGGAACUCAUAGUGUAGCGGUGAAAUGCGUUGAUAUUAUGGGGAACACCAAAAGCGAAGGCAGCAGACUGGAGCACUCCUGACACUGAAACAUGAAAGCGUGGGUCGCGAAUGGG